rnacentral:tRNA from 1 species
GAGGGUGUAGCUCAGUGGUAGAGCUUGCACUUAGCAAGCACGGUCCUGGGUUCAAUCCCCAGUACCUCCA